rnacentral:rRNA from 1 species
UACGAAGGGGGCUAGCGUUGCUCGGAAUUACUGGGCGUAAAGCGCACGUAGGCGGAUUGUUAAGUCGGGGGUGAAAUCCUGGAGCUCAACUCCAGAACUGCCUUCGAUACUGGCGAUCUCGAGUCCGGGAGAGGUGAGUGGAACUGCGAGUGUAGAGGUGAAAUUCGUAGAUAUUCGCAAGAACACCAGUGGCGAAGGCGGCUCACUGGCCCGGUACUGACGCUGAGGAGCGAAAGCGUGGGGAGCGAACAGG